rnacentral:lncRNA from 1 species
AACUCCCAGACGUCAGACGGAGAAAAUGGAGCCGGGUGGGAAUGUACCAUGCUCUACAAUUUUUUUUUCUGUCCUUGUGUUUUUGAUCUUGUUGCUAACUCUACUCGUCUUUUUUAUUAUUAUUGUUGCAGACUAUUCGUUCCUGGAACUUGUGGAUCAUUUCCAUAGAGACUCACUGAUCAACUCACCGCCUCUUGGUUGCUACCCAACUAUUCUGUUCGGUUCUACUGUGAACGUCCCUGGAGUGCCGAAAAGUUCUUGUUUUCAGACCUCUGCUUCUCCGGUUUAGAGAUUCAGAUCUAAAUAUUAUCAUCGCUAA